UUUAAUGAUGUUUCUGUACUUUAAUUUCUCUGUUAUUUUAUUGAUCUUUGAUGGGAAGAUAUUCUGUUACGUUUGUGUUGAUAUUUUCGUUGUAAUUUUCGCUCAAAGUAUGUACAUUAGCGCCAUUAAUGUCCGCGAUCGUUAUGAAGUUAACAGGUGCUAACGAGCCUAUUGUGUCGCAGGAAUGCCGUUCGCUUCGACCCCUUGCAGUGUGCCUCAUUGUGUCCGCCCUGUCUGUUGUUUCAGAUAUAAGAAGUUGGGGUUGGGGUUGAUGAUCCACAUGAUGGUGAUGGACCAGGACAGCUCUGGACCUCCUGACUGGCAGCUCCAUCCUCAACCUCCCUUCCUGUCCUUCACACAUGUGCAGGCAGAGAGGCAGUUUUCUGAAGGAUGGUUAAUGUCAGUACCAACAUGUUGUGAUGGAGGCUUCCACCUGAGCUGAACACAGAAACUUGCACACAGUGAUGGAAGCAGUCGUUCCUGUUCAGCAUUGAUAUGCCGGUAAUGGGUUUGAUGAGCCACAGCAUAGUGAUGGGCAAUCAGCAUCAGGA